CAAUCAUGUAAAUACUAAAGAGUCACAUCCAUUAUAGACAGUGAAAAUGUCUGAAUGUGUCCUAGCCCACAGAUCUCACACUGAGUCUUCAUAGCUAACACAGAAGUGCUUCAUGCAAAACAAGAAGUGCACAAGCAGUCCUUCAUCAGACUUUCUCAUACAAAUAAUAGCACUGGGUUGCCAAAGUUGGGCCUAAGCUUAAUUUCAGCCUAUUAACAGAAACAAGCAAGCACUUCCCUUAAACUCAUUCCAUAUCUGAUAAAGACUGCAAAUCUGAAUGUUGUAUUUUUUCACUUGAAAUAACAAAGAGCAGGAUUCAGCAUAUCCAAGAAAAUUCACUCAGCUGUUGUUAAGUCAUAGUCCUGAAACAGCACAAAUUAGUUGAAAUCUUAUUGUGAACCCAAUAUAUACAGGAACAACACUUAGAAAUACAGAGUAACACUCACAGUAGCAUUUCUAAUGGCAGUCAGAAUAUCAAUUGUGUUAAGGCCACCUAGAGGGUCAACAGAUUCUAAGGUUCGUCCAAAGGUCUCAUGAAAGAUGUAACAGAUUCUGGCUCCACCACAUAGCUCAGAAGUCUCUAUGUAUUUUGCUGUUCCUUCAAUAGUGUUGCAAUAUUCUGUGGCAAAUUUGGUAAUAAGCUGCAAUAAAGUGGCACUUUUGUCCUCAACAGGUUCCCCAUAGCUGUUAAGUAGAGACUGGUACUGAGCAGCUAAAACAUUGAUUCUGGUUUUCAGCUCUGGCAAGCAGUCCCUGAUGUGAUGCAUUAGUAGCCUGUUCAGUGUUCUAGCAAGAUACUUAGUUCCAUUUCGAUUGGCUAGGGAGGGAUACUUCUUUUGAAGAAAACCAUAUUCAUCACGAAUAGAAUCCGCUACACUCUUCUUAUUGUUAAUAUCCAGCUGACUCCUGUUCACUACUCCAAUGAUGCCAAGUUUUACUGGAAUCACUCUUCCCAUGAGCACAUCCAUAGCAUCAGUGCCAGCAUCCAUGAGAUCCAGCUUUGUGAUAACAGCAAGGGUUCUUCGACCAUCUGGAUCCACUUCCCGUGCAAUUUUAAGUGCUUCUGAAGUGGCCAUGUCUGUGUUAGCUGCUGUGACUGCCAGAAUAAUUGAAUUUGGGUUGCUGAUGAAUUGAAGGAUUAGCUCUCUUAUUUGAAGUUCAAUAUCCUUGGGCUGAUCACCAACAGGCACCUUUGUCAUUCCCGGUAAAUCCACAAGAGUCAGAUUCACAACAUUAGAUGAAAAAAUCUUAAGAUGAAUUGGUUCAGGACUGAUACCCUUAUUAUUUCCUGAAAUCCUCUCUGUUUCAUUUUCUAUUUCCUGACGAAUUUCAUCAAAAUCUGUAUAGAUCUUAUUUUUGGUGUGAAGAAAUUUACCCCACUCUUCAGCAUCUAUCUCAUUUUCAUCUCCAGCUGUUUUCCGACCAUCCUCUGGGGAAACAUGCACCAGCUGCAGAAUAAGGGGUCUUCGGGUCACAACUCCGGUACCUCGUGGGAGCAGAUCUCUCCCCACGAGGCUCUCCAGCACAGAACUCUUUCCACUGCUCUGCGUGCCCACCACCACGAUCUGCGGCAGCUGGAUGAUGUCGGCCCCCACCGUGUUGAAGACGUCUUGCAGCUUGUUGAUCACCGGGAUCAGCGCCUCCAUGGCGGCGGCGGCGGACAGCCCGGCGGGGCCGGGGGAAGAGAGAAAGCCGGGGAAGGCGUCGGCGAUGAAUGGGCGCGACGGGCAGCGGCUCCCGUCAGCCGCCCCCUCCGCCUGCCGCCAUUGGCG
rnacentral:lncRNA from 1 species